GAUGAACGCUGGCGGCGUGCCUAACACAUGCAAGUCGAACGGAGUUAUGAAGUUUUCGGACGGAAUAACUUAGUGGCGGACGGGUGAGUAACGCGUGGGUAACCUGCCUCAUACAGGGGGAUAACAGCCGGAAACGGCUGCUAAAACCGCAUAAUAUCACGUUGUCGCAUGACGGUGUGAUGAAAUAUUGAUAGGUAUGAGAUGGGCCCGCGUCUGAUUAGCUUGUUGGCGGGGUAACGGCCCACCAAGGCGACGAUCAGUAGCCGGCUUGAGAGAGUGACCGGCCACAUUGGGACUGAGACACGGCCCAAACUCCUACGGGAGGCAGCAGUGGGGAAUAUUGCACAAUGGGGGAAACCCUGAUGCAGCGACGCCGCGUGAGUGAAGAAGUAUUUCGGUAUGUAAAGCUCUAUCAGCAGGGAAGAAGAUGACGGUACCUGACUAAGAAGCCCCGGCUAACUACGUG
rnacentral:rRNA from 1 species